AAAAUUUAAAAAUAUAUAUUCUCUACAGAUUGACGAACUCACACUCACAGAUCAGUGGGACCAUCUCAGUAAAGACCCGUUUCCCAUCUACACACAGUGAUUGACAAGCAAUGCAAAAAGGAGAAGGAGAAGGGAGGAGACAAAGAAGAUCCCUGGUUUGAGAUCAGUCCACUUGAAGCUGGUUAUUCUCUCACUGGAGCGUUUGUGGAAACAUCCAGCUUCGGCAGCAAGUUUUGAAAAUGGCCUCCAAAAAAAAAACCUCAGGAUGAAAUGGACAUGCUGUACCUGCAAGCUCUGUGUGGCAGCGCUUUAGCUGAUCG